UUUCACAGUUCAGUUUAUACAGAAAAACAAAAUGUAAUUCUCUUUUUCAUUUCUCAGGCUAAAUUGAAUAUCUGAAGGAAUGGGAUAUGAUUAAGUAAUUUUAAAAAAUAUAUUUUUCUGUUAUUCAUUUAUUUUUUUUUAAAUAAGUAUCUGAUAGUUGAAAACCAGGUGACUGACCCACUUGCUUUGAGCAGUUUCAUGGGCGCUUUCGUAAUUGGUAUUUGGUGUUCCUCUUAUUCAGAGACCUGUGACAACUUUGCUUGGUGCACUGUUCCAAAGGCUCUGCAGUAAAUGGUUGGCUUGCCUGUAACUCCCCCCCCCCAGUGGAUGUGGUGGUGUAAGGAGUGUUCAGUAGUCGUUUCAAGCUGAUGAUGAAGCCUUCCAAGGAUCCAUUGAGGACACCAUGGUAGGAAUAAUACAUUGUCAGACCAGGAGAGGCCACCAGUAAACCAGAGGACAUCGGGGUUGUCCUUGAAGGCCAGAUGGUACUGCAAGAUCUGGACAAUGUUACUUUUGGUGUUGCAAUGUUGUUGGGCUUAAUGUAUGCUUUGAACCUCAGCUGCCCCACUGAACUGAAGUAUACCUUUGAAGUGCUCCAGAAAGUUGUGAUGGAGCUCGACAGUGACACUCUCUAAGAAAGCCCAAGUUCUUAAAAAAAACUGUAUCAGUGAGCUGUUGCCAGAUAUGACGUGGGUGAGACAACAGUUCACCGUGUUUGGUCCUUUGGAUACAGAACAUUGUUGCUCUUUGGUUGCAUUGAUGAUGCUUUGUGCACUGACAGAACUCACUUGCACUGCCUUUAUAUUUGCUACAUCAUAUUUAGUUUAAAAAUGGGGAGCCUUGCGUGGAGCAUUGCUUAGCUUUAACACUUCUGGA